AUUGAACGCUGGCGGCAUGCCUUACACAUGCAAGUCGAACGGUAACAGGUCUUCGGAUGCCGACGAGUGGCGAACGGGUGAGUAAUACAUCGGAACGUGCCUAGUAGUGGGGGAUAACUACUCGAAAGAGUGGCUAAUACCGCAUGAGAUCUACGGAUGAAAGCAGGGGAUCGCAAGACCUUGUGCUACUAGAGCGGCCGAUGGCAGAUUAGGUAGUUGGUGGGAUAAAAGCUUACCAAGCCGACGAUCUGUAGCUGGUCUGAGAGGACGAUCAGACACACUGGGACUGAGACACGGCCCAGACUCCUACGGGAGGCAGCAGUGGGGAAUUUUGGACAAUGGGCGAAAGCCUGAUCCAGCAAUGCCGCGUGCAGGAUGAAGGCCUUCGGGUUGUAAACUGCUUUUGUACGGAACGAAAAGCCCCGGGUUAAUACCCUGGGGUCAUGACGGUACCGUAAGAAUAAGCACCGGCUAACUACGUGCCAGCAGCCGCGGUAA
rnacentral:rRNA from 1 species